UGGGGAAUCUUCCGCAAUGGACGAAAGUCUGACGGAGCAACGCCGCGUGAGUGAAGACGGCCUUCGGGUUGUAAAGCUCUGUGAUCCGGGACGAAAGAGCCUGAGGUAAAUAGCCUAAGGAAGUGACGGUACCGGAAAAGCAAGCCACGGCUAACUACGUGCCAGCAGCCGCGGUAAUACGUAGGUGGCAAGCGUUGUCCGGAAUUAUUGGGCGUAAAGCGCGCGCAGGCGGCUUACUAAGUCCAUCUUAAAAGUGCGGGGCUUAACCCCGUGAUGGGAUGGAAACUGGAAAGCUGGAGUAUCGGAGAGGAAAGCGGAAUUCCUAGUGUAGCGGUGAAAUGCGUAGAGAUUAGGAAGAACACCGGUGGCGAAGGCGACUUUCUGGACGAAAACUGACGCUGAGGCGCGAAAGCGUGGGGAGCAAACAGG
rnacentral:rRNA from 1 species